GAUGAACGCUGGCGGCGUGCUUAACACAUGCAAGUCGAACGAAGCACUCUAUUUGAUUUUCUUCGGAAAUGAAGAUUUUGUGACUGAGUGGCGGACGGGUGAGUAACGCGUGGGUAACCUGCCUCAUACAGGGGGAUAACAGUUGGAAACGACUGCUAAUACCGCAUAAGCGCACAGGAUCGCAUGAUCCGGUGUGAAAAACUCCGGUGGUAUGAGAUGGACCCGCGUCUGAUUAGCCAGUUGGCAGGGUGACGGCCUACCAAAGCGACGAUCAGUAGCCGACCUGAGAGGGUGACCGGCCACAUUGGGACUGAGACACGGCCCAAACUCCUACGGGAGGCAGCAGUGGGGAAUAUUGCACAAUGGGGGAAACCCUGAUGCAGCGACGCCGCGUGAGCGAAGAAGUAUUUCGGUAUGUAAAGCUCUAUCAGCAGGGAAGAAGAAUGACGGUACCUGACUAAGAAGCAC
rnacentral:rRNA from 1 species